UACGUAGGGUGCGAGCGUUAAUCGGAAUUACUGGGCGUAAAGCGUGCGCAGGCGGUUUUGUAAGCCAGAUGUGAAAGCCCCGGGCUUAACCUGGGAAUGGCAUUUGGGACUGCAAGGCUUGAGUGCGGCAGAGGAGACUGGAAUUCCUGGUGUAGCAGUGAAAUGCGUAGAUAUCAGGAGGAACACCAGCGGCGAAGGCGGCGCUCUGGGCUGGAACUGACGCUGAGGAGCGAAAGCGUGGGGAGCGAACAGG
rnacentral:rRNA from 1 species